rnacentral:piRNA from 1 species
UGAGAGCACUUGGCACAACACCUGUAAA